UGCUCCCUCACACCCCCUGGUGUGUUGGGAAAGCCUUUGCGGCAUGUGAUGGGGUCACGUCCUAUCACCUUGAUGGCGGGGUAACAGCCCACCAUGGCUUCUACAGGUAGCCGGCCUGAGAGGGCGACCGGCCACAUUGGGACUGAGAUACGGCCCACACUCCUACAGGAGGCACCACUGGGGAAUAUUGCACAAUGGGCGCACGCCUGAUACACCGACACCCCGUGAGGGAUGGAGGCCUUCUGGUUGUAAACCUCUUUUGUUAUGGAGCAAGGCAUUUUUGUGUUGAGUGUACCUUUCGAAUAAUCACCGGCUAACUACCUGCCAACAUCCCCGGUAAUACGUAGGGUGCAAGCGUUAUCCCGAAUUAUUGGGCGUAAAGGGCUCGUAGGCGGUUCGUCGCGUCCUGUGUGAAAGUCCAUCGCUUAACGGUGGAUCCGCGCCUGGUACCGGCGGGCUUGAGUGCGGUAGGGGAGACUGGAAUUCCCGGUGUAACGGUGGAAUGUGUAGAUAUCGGGAAGAACACCAAUGGCGAAGGCAGGUCUCUGGGCCGUUACUGACGCUGAGGAGCGAAAGCGUGGGGAGCGAACAGGAUUAGAUACCCUGGUAGUCCACGCCGUAAACGGUGGAUGCUGGAUGUGGGGCCCGUUCCACGGGUUCCGUGUCGGAGCUAACGCGUUAAGCAUCCCGCCUGGGGAGUACGGCCGCAAGGCUAAAACUCAAAGAAAUUGACGGGGGCCCGCACAAGCGGCGGAGCAUGCGGAUUAAUUCGAUGCAACGCGAAGAACCUUACCUGGGCUUGACAUGUUCCCGACGACCGUAGAGAUACGGUUUCCCUUCGGGGCGGGUUCACAGGUGGUGCAUGGUCGUCGUCAGCUCGUGUCGUGAGAUGUUGGGUUAAGUCCCGCAACGAGCGCAACCCUCGCCCCGUGUUGCCAGCGGAUUAUGCCGGGAACUCACGGGGGACCGCCGGGGUUAACUCGGAGGAAGGUGGGAAUGACGUCAGAUCAUCAUGCCCCUUAUGUCCAGGGCUUCACGCAUGCUACAAUGGCCGGUACAACGGGAUGCGACAGUGCGAGCUGGAGCGGAUCCCUGAAAACCGGUCUCAGUUCGGAUCGCAGUCUGCAACUCGACUGCGUGAAGGCGGAGUCGCUAGUAAUCGCGAAUCAGCAACGU
rnacentral:rRNA from 1 species